rnacentral:lncRNA from 1 species
CCAUUUGCCUUGGCACCUUUGCUCCUUCUAUCUCCAUCCCCUCUGAGAUUUCUUAAAAGAACACAUGGGCCCACUCGACAUCGCUCCACUGAGCUCUCUCUAACCUCCUUGCACUGAGUCGGGAGCUUUGCACAAAGAAGGGAAAUUAAGAUUGCGUGUACACCCCGAUCCUAACUCCGAAGGAAGCAAUCAUCUAGGACCAUCCUGCUGGACCCAACAGUGCGAAACAGCGGGUGAGGGGAGAACCAGGCCCCCUGAAGAAAGUCCUGAAUGAUGGGAGCCUUGGUGAUGGGACGGACCAACAAGUUCCAGAGUAACAACAGUGCUUUUAACAUUCUCGUCAGUUCCCAACCCUAGUGAGGGUUUCACAGCAUUGGCAGAUUGACCUGUCAGGCCCACCUCUGUACAGCGUCUCGUCAGGUUCCUACUGAAGAACUUCCAGUGUUCGCUCACAUUUAAACUCAGCAGCCUCUGUGGACAGCUGGAACCCCA